rnacentral:rRNA from 1 species
UACGGAGGGUGCAAGCGUUAAUCGGAAUUACUGGGCGUAAAGCGCGUGUAGGCUGCUUCGCAAGUCGGGUGUGAAAGCCCUGGGCUCAACCUAGGAAGUGCACUCGAAACUGCGAAGCUUGAGUCCUGGAGAGGAAGGCGGAAUUCUCGGUGUAGAGGUGAAAUUCGUAGAUAUCGAGAGGAACACCGGUGGCGAAGGCGGCCUUCUGGACAGUGACUGACGCUGAGACGCGAAAGCGUGGGGAGCAAACAGG